AACUUCCUUGUCUUGGGGAGCAUAGUGCGCAGUGAUCGUAAAGUGAGAGCACUGAUGCUGACACCCACAUGUAACUACCCGCGCCCGGCUGCCGUAAGGGAGUCCGAGCGCAAUUUUUGAUAGG
rnacentral:ncRNA from 1 species